ACCGGAUGCCGUCGAAGUUGACGAGCGGAUGCAGCCGCUCGGCCUCGUCACGGCCGAUCUCGUAGAAGU
rnacentral:sRNA from 1 species